AUUGAACGCUGGCGGCAGGCCUAACACAUGCAAGUCGAGCGGAUGAAGGGAGCUUGCUCCUGGAUUCAGCGGCGGACGGGUGAGUAAUGCCUAGGAAUCUGCCUGGUAGUGGGGGAUAACGUCCGGAAACGGGCGCUAAUACCGCAUACGUCCUGAGGGAGAAAGUGGGGGAUCUUCGGACUUCACGCUAUCAGAUGAGCCUAGGUCGGAUUAGCUAGUUGGUGGGGUAAAGGCCUACCAAGGCGACGAUCCGUAACUGGUCUGAGAGGAUGAUCAGUCACACUGGAACUGAGACACGGUCCAGACUCCUACGGGAGGCAGCAGUGGGGAAUAUUGGACAAUGGGCGAAAGCCUGAUCCAGCCAUGCCGCGUGUGUGAAGAAGGUCUUCGGAUUGUAAAGCACUUUAAGUUGGGAGGAAGGGCAGUAAGUUAAUACCUUGCUUUAUUGACGUUACCAACAGAAUAAGCACCGGCUAACUUCGUG
rnacentral:rRNA from 1 species